rnacentral:rRNA from 1 species
GAUGAACGCUAGCUACAGGCUUAACACAUGCAAGUCGAGGGGAAACGACAUCGAAAGCUUGCUUUUGAUGGGCGUCGACCGGCGCACGGGUGAGUAACGCGUAUCCAACCUGCCCACCACUUGGGGAUAACCUUGCGAAAGUAAGACUAAUACCCAAUGACGUCUCUAGAAGACAUCUGAAAGAGAUUAAAGAUUUAUCGGUGAUGGAUGGGGAUGCGUCUGAUUAGCUUGUUGGCGGGGUAACGGCCCACCAAGGCGACGAUCAGUAGGGGUUCUGAGAGGAAGGUCCCCCACAUUGGAACUGAGACACGGUCCAAACUCCUACGGGAGGCAGCAGUGAGGAAUAGUGGUCAAUGGACGAGAGUCUGAACCAGCCAAGUAGCGUGCAGGAUGACGGCCCUAUGGGUUGUAAACUGCCUUUAUAAGGGAAUAAAGUGAGUCUCGUGAGACUUUUUGCAUGUACCUUAUGAAUAAGGACCGGCUAAUUCCGUG